UGGGGAAUAUUGGACAAUGGGCGCAAGCCUGAUCCAGCCAUGCCGCGUGAGUGAUGAGGCCUUAGGGUUGUAAAGCUCUUUCGCCGGUGAAGAUAAUGACGGUAACCGGAGAAGAAGCCCCGGCUAACUUCGUGCCAGCAGCCGCGGUAAUACGAAGGGGGCUAGCGUUGCUCGGAAUCACUGGGCGUAAAGCGCACGUAGGCGGAUCGUUAAGUCAGGGGUGAAAUCCUGGAGCUCAACUCCAGAACUGCCCUUGAUACUGGCGAUCUCGAGUUCGAGAGAGGUUGGUGGAACUCCGAGUGUAGAGGUGAAAUUCGUAGAUAUUCGGAAGAACACCAGUGGCGAAGGCGGCCAACUGGCUCGAUACUGACGCUGAGGUGCGAAAGCGUGGGGAGCAAAACAGGAUUUAGAUACCCUGGUAGUCCACGCCGUAAACGAUGGAUGCUAGCCGUUGGGGGGUUUACCUCUCAGUGGCGCAGCUAACGCCUUAAGCAUCCCGCCUGGGGAGUACGGUCGCAAGAUUAAAACUCAAAGGAAUUGACGGGGUCAUAGCU
rnacentral:rRNA from 1 species